rnacentral:tRNA from 1 species
GCCAGCGUAGCUCAGAGGCAGAGCAGUGCUUUCGUAAAGCAAAGGUCGUGGGUUCAAUUCCCACCGCUGGCU